GUGGGGAAUAUUGGGCAAUGGGCGAAAGCCUGACCCAGCAACGCCGCGUGAAGGAAGAAGGUCUUCGGAUCGUAAACUUCUAUCCUUGGUGAAGAUAAUGACGGUAGCCGAGAAGGAAGCCCCGGCUAACUACGUGCCAGCAGCCGCGGUAAUACGUAGGGGGCAAGCGUUGUCCGGAAUGAUUGGGCGUAAAGGGCGCGUAGGCGGCCUGGUAAGUCUGGAGUGAAAGUCCUGCUUUUAAGGUGGGAAUUGCUUUGGAUACUGUCGGGCUGGAGUGCAGGAGAGGUAAGUGGAAUUCCCGGUGUAGCGGUGAAAUGCGUAGAGAUCGGGAGGAACACCAGUGGCGAAGGCGACUUACUGGACGAUAACUGACGCUGAGGCGCGAAAGCGUGGGGAGCAAACAGGAUUAGAUACCCCGGUAGUCC
rnacentral:rRNA from 1 species